GCCUUUACGAGGAGUGCUUGAACGCAGCUUAGGGAGUCGCGUGUAAUUAGAAACACCUGUUGGAGUCCGCGAGGGAAAACCGGAGUGACAAACAACUACAAGAAAAACAUUUCCCUUCGCUUGGUUGGGUUGAUGUAUAACCAUUAUGAAGAGAAGCCAAACCACCCAGUGGAGCCCAACCACCAAUCAAAACCAUCGUGCACGUGUGACUCACUCAGUCUUCACCUCAUCUGAACUGUGUGGGAGGAAGGAUGAGCAAGGUGAAAUGACUGAGUCACUUAACUUCCUGCCUUUGUGUGUUUUCCCGCUUCUGUGAUCGUCUGCUCCGCCC